rnacentral:rRNA from 1 species
AUUGAACGCUGGCGGCAGGCCUAACACAUGCAAGUCGAACGAGUGGCGGACGGGUGAGUAAUGUCUGGGCAACUGCCUGAUGGAGGGGGAUAACUACUGGAAACGGUCGCUUAUACCGCCUACCCUCGAAUGUGCCCAGAGGGGAUUAGCUAGUAGGUGGGGUAAAGGCUCACCUCGGCGACGAUCCCUAGCUGGUCUGAGAGGAUGACCGGCCACACUGGAACGGGGACACGGUCCAGACUCCGACGGGAGUAAGCAGUGGGGAAUAUUGCACAAUGGGCGCAAGCCGGAUGCAGCCAUGCCGCUUGGAUGAAGAAGGCCUUCGGGGUGUAAAGUACUUUCAGCGGGGAGGCGUUACCCGAAGAAGAAGCACCGGCUAACUCCGUGCCAGCAGCCGCGGUAAUAC